GAUGAAGAACGCAGCGAAAUGCGAUAAGUAAUGUGAAUUGCAGAAUUCAGUGAAUCAUCGAAUCUUUGAACGCACAUUGCGCCCCCUGGUAUUCCGGGGGGCAUGCCUGUUCGAGCGUCAUUUCACCACUCAAGCCUCGCUUGGUAUUGGGCGACGCGGUCCGCCGCGCGCCUCAAAUCGACCGGCUGGGUCUUUCGUCCCCUCAGCGUUGUGGAAACUAUUCGCUAAAGGGUGCCGCGGGAGGCCACGCCGUAAAACAACCCCAUUUCUAAGGUUGACCUCGGAUCAGGUAGGGAUACCCGCUGAACUUAAGCAUAUCAAUAAGCGGAGGA
rnacentral:misc_RNA from 1 species